rnacentral:rRNA from 1 species
AGUGAACGCUGGCGGUAGGCCUAACACAUGCAAGUCGAACGGCAGCACAGUAAGAGCUUGCUCUUACGGGUGGCGAGUGGCGGACGGGUGAGGUAUACAUCGGAAUCUACUUUUUCGUGGGGGAUAACGUAGGGAAACUUACGCUAAUACCGCAUACGACCUACGGGUGAAAGCAGGGGAUCUUCGGACCUUGCGCGAUUGAAUGAGCCGAUGUCGGAUUAGCUAGUUGGCGGGGUAAAGGCCCACCAAGGCGACGAUCCGUAGCUGGUCUGAGAGGAUGAUCAGCCACACUGGAACUGAGACACGGUCCAGACUCCUACGGGAGGCAGCAGUGGGGAAUAUUGGACAAUGGGCGCAAGCCUGAUCCAGCCAUACUGCGUGGGUGAAGAAGGCCUUCGGGUUGUAAAGCCCUUUUGUUGGGAAAGAAAAGCAGCAGGUUAAUACCCCGCUGUUCUGACGGUACCCAAAGAAUAAGCACCGGCUAACUUCGUG